rnacentral:rRNA from 1 species
AAUAGCCUACGGGAGGCAGCAGUGGGGGAUAUUGCACAAUGGGGGAAACCCUGAUGCAGCGACGCCGCGUGUGGGAAGACGGUCCUCUGGUUUGUAAACCACUGUCCCCAGGGACGAAGAUGACGGUACCUGGGGAGGAAGCUCCGGCUAACUACGUGCCAGCAGCCGCGGUAAUACGUAGGGAGCAAGCGUUGUCCGGAAUUACUGGGUGUAAAGGGAGUGUAGGUGGGGUGGCAAGUUGGGUGUUAAAGCUACCGGCUCAACUGGUAGUGGCACUAAAAAC